rnacentral:lncRNA from 1 species
AGCUCUGCUAAUGUGAGCUGGGGGAGAACCACAGCCUACGCAGUCACUUUGGUUCCCUCUCGCUGAGGAGGAACUCAUGUACUGCUGCACAGAGUGUGGAAUCAGAGGCAUAGCGAGCCUAGGACUCAAGCUGUCCUGAAAGAACUCUCCACAAGGCUUUUGAUGGACGAUGGGCACCACCUGACAAGGCCUCAGUGCUGCAACAAAAGCACGGAGCUCGGAUUCAACAAGAGACAGCAUCUACCAAGCAUCAAGCGCUGUGGAAACAGAUGAAGAAGGUUUCAGCUCUCCAAGUAUGUAGUCUCUUGAUUCAAUAAUACCUCCCUGCCUGAACAUUCACACAGACGUGCUGAAGGAAAAACUCCAUGCUUUCCAAAAGGCUUAGAGAUUAUACGUCAGGGCCCGGAUCCAGUGCUUAGACACCUGAGGAAAACAGUUGGUCACCCGAGUAACAAUAGACUUCUCUUUCGUCAAGGAAAGCUGACCGAGUUCUGAACCACUCUCAUGUAAGCUGUUAUAAGGAUUCCCAAGAAAUCUCUCCUUCCUCUUCUGUCUCCCACCCUUUGUACAGAUUUAAACUCAGAAUCUGAAAACAGUCUAAAUAAAGAUUCUCACACUUUCUCCU